AUACAUUAUCUGUACCGGCUUAUCCUAUUCAGUGUCGAGCGGGAGCUGGAGCCGAUCCCAGCUGACAUUGGGCGAAGGCGGGGUACACCUUGGACAGGUCGCCAGACUAUCACAGGGCUGACACAUAGAGACAGACGACCAUUCAC